rnacentral:rRNA from 1 species
CCAGCAGCUGCGGUAAUUCCAGCUCCAAUAGCGUACAUUAAAGUUGUUGCAGUCAAAAAGCUCGUAGUCGGAAUUCUUUGUCGCGUUUUUUCAGUGCGCGUGCGUGCCUUUUUAUGGGGUGCGCAUGUGCGCCGCGGCAAUUAACUUUUCCGUGGUGUCACCGGUGCGCUUCACUGUGUGCCGGUGUGCGCCAUGGGCGAUUACUUUGAAAAAAUUAGAGUGUUCAAAGCAGUUUUUUACUGACUUGAAUAUUACAGCAUGGGAUAAUGGAAUAUGGCUUGUGUCUAUUUCGUUGGUUUUGGGACAUGAGUGAUGAUUAAUAGGGACGGUUGUGGGCAUUCGUAUUUAAUUGUCAGAGGUGAAAUUCUUGGAUUUAUGAAAGACGAACUAGAGCGAAAGCAUUUGCCAAGGAUGUUUUCAUUGAUCAAGAACGAAAGU